rnacentral:rRNA from 1 species
CGCAGCUAUAAUGCAGUCGAGCGAACAGAUAAGGAGCUUGCUCCUUUGACGUUAGCGGCGGACGGGUGAGUAACACGUGGGUAACCUACCUAUAAGACUGGGAUAACUUCGGGAAACCGGAGCUAAUACCGGAUAAUAUUUCGAACCGCAUGGUUCGAUAGUGAAAGAUGGUUUUGCUAUCACUUAUAGAUGGACCCGCGCCGUAUUAGCUAGUUGGUAAGGUAACGGCUUACCAAGGCGACGAUACGUAGCCGACCUGAGAGGGUGAUCGGCCACACUGGAACUGAGACACGGUCCAGACUCCUACGGGAGGCAGCAGUAGGGAAUCUUCCGCAAUGGGCGAAAGCCUGACGGAGCAACGCCGCGUGAGUGAUGAAGGUCUUCGGAUCGUAAAACUCUGUUAUUAGGGAAGAACAUACGUGUAAGUAACUGUGCACGUCUUGACGGUACCUAAUCAGAAAGCCACGGCUAACUACGUGCCAGCAGCCGCGGUAAUACGUAGGUGGCAAGCGUUAUCCGGAAUUAUUGGGCGUAAAGCGCGCGUAGGCGGUUUUUUAAGUCUGAUGUGAAAGCCCACGGCUCAACCGUGGAGGGUCAUUGGAAACUGGAAAACUUGAGUGCAGAAGAGGAAAGUGGAAUUCCAUGUGUAGCGGUGAAAUGCGCAGAGAUAUGGAGGAACACCAGUGGCGAAGGCGACUUUCUGGUCUGUAACUGACGCUGAUGUGCGAAAGCGUGGGGAUCAAACAGGAUUAGAUACCCUGGUAGUCCACGCCGUAAACGAUGAGUGCUAAGUGUUAGGGGGUUUCCGCCCCUUAGUGCUGCAGCUAACGCAUUAAGCACUCCGCCUGGGGAGUACGACCGCAAGGUUGAAACUCAAAGGAAUUGACGGGGACCCGCACAAGCGGUGGAGCAUGUGGUUUAAUUCGAAGCAACGCGAAGAACCUUACCAAAUCUUGACAUCCUUUGACAACUCUAGAGAUAGAGCUUUCCCCUUCGGGGGACAAAGUGACAGGUGGUGCAUGGUUGUCGUCAGCUCGUGUCGUGAGAUGUUGGGUUAAGUCCCGCAACGAGCGCAACCCUUAAGCUUAGUUGCCAUCAUUAAGUUGGGCACUCUAAGUUGACUGCCGGUGACAAACCGGAGGAAGGUGGGGAUGACGUCAAAUCAUCAUGCCCCUUAUGAUUUGGGCUACACACGUGCUACAAUGGACAAUACAAAGGGUAGCGAAACCGCGAGGUCAAGCAAAUCCCAUAAAGUUGUUCUCAGUUCGGAUUGUAGUCUGCAACUCGACUACAUGAAGCUGGAAUCGCUAGUAAUCGUAGAUCAGCAUGCUACGGUGAAUACGUUCCCGGGUCUUGUACACACCGCCCGUCACACCACGAGAGUUUGUAACACCCGAAGCCGGUGGAGUAACCAUUUGGAGCUAGCCGUCGAAGUGA